rnacentral:rRNA from 1 species
UUCCGUAGGUGAACCUGCGGAAGGAUCAUUACCGAGUUGAUUCGGGCUCCGGCCCGAUCCUCCCACCCUUUGUGUACCUACCUCUGUUGCUUUGGCGGGCCGCGGUCCUCCGCGGCUGCCCCCUCCCCGGGGGGUGGCCAGCGCCCGCCAGAGGACCAUCAAACUCCAGUCAGUAAACGAUGCAGUCUGAAAAACAUUCAAUAAACUAAAACUUUCAACAACGGAUCUCUUGGUUCUGGCAUCGAUGAAGAACGCAGCGAAAUGCGAUAAGUAAUGUGAAUUGCAGAAUUCAGUGAAUCAUCGAAUCUUUGAACGCACAUUGCGCCCUUUGGUAUUCCGAAGGGCAUGCCUGUUCGAGCGUCAUUACAACCCUCAAGCUCUGCUUGGUAUUGGGCACCGUCCUUUGCGGGCGCGCCUCAAAGACCUCGGCGGUGGCGUCUUGCCUCAAGCGUAGUAGAACAUACAUCUCGCUUCGGAGCGCGAGGGCGUCGCCCGCCGGACGAACCUUCUGAACUUUCUCAAGGUGACCUCGGAUCAGUUAGA